rnacentral:tRNA from 1 species
GGGGGUGUGACUCAUAUAGUAGAGUGCUUGCCUAGCAAGCAUAACACAAGGCCUUGAGUUCAAAUCCGAGUACCUCCA